rnacentral:rRNA from 1 species
CGCAGCCGCGGUAAUUCCAGCUCCAAUAGCGUAUAUUAAAGUUGUUGCAGUUAAAAAGCUCGUAGUUGAAUUUCGGGGUUAGUAGGUUGGUCAUGCCUCUGGUAUGUACUGGUCUCACUGAUUCCUCCUUCCUGAUGAGCCGUAAUGCCAUUAAUUUGGUGUUGCGGGGAAUUUGGACUGUUACUUUGAAAAAUUAGAGUGUUUAAAGCAAGCUAACGCUUGAAUACAUUAGCAUGGAAUAAUGAAAUAGGACGUUCGACCCUAUUUUGUUGGUUUCUAGGAUUGACGUAAUGAUUAAUAGGGAUAGUUGGGGGCAUUAGUACUCAAUUGUCAGAGGUGAAAUUCUUGGAUUUAUUGAAGACUAACUACUGCGAAAGCAUUUUGCCAAGGAUGUUUUCAUUAAUCAAGAACGAAAGUUAGGGGAUCGAAGACGAUCAGAUACCGUCGUAGUCUUAACCAUAAACUAUAGCCGAACUAGGGAUCGGAUGAUGUUAAUUUUUAAUGUACUCAUUCGGCG